rnacentral:rRNA from 1 species
AGCGGCGGAUGGGUGAGUAACACGUGGGGAACCUGCCCCUAAGUCUGGGAUACCAUUUGGAAACAGGUGCUAAUACCGGAUAAUAAAGCAGAUCGCAUGAUCAGCUUUUGAAAGGCGGCGUAAGCUGUCGCUAAGGGAUGGCCCCGCGGUGCAUUAGCUAGUUGGUAAGGUAACGGCUUACCAAGGCGACGAUGCAUAGCCGAGUUGAGAGACUGAUCGGCCACAUUGGGACUGAGACACGGCCCAAACUCCUACGGGAGGCAGCAGUAGGGAAUCUUCCACAAUGGACGCAAGUCUGAUGGAGCAACGCCGCGUGAGUGAAGAAGGUUUUCGGAUCGUAAAGCUCUGUUGUUGGUGAGGAAGGAUAGAGGUAGUAACUGGCCUUUAUUUGACGGUAAUCAGCCAGAAAGUCACGGCUAACUACGUGCCAGCAGCCGCGGUAAUACGUAGGUGGCAAGCGUUGUCCGGAUUUAUUGGGCGUAAAGCGAGCGCAGGCGGAAAAAUAAGUCUAAUGUGAAAGCCCUCGGCUUAACCGAGGAACUGCAUCGGAAACUGUUUUUCUUGAGUGCAGUAGAGGAGAGUGGAACUCCAUGUGUAGCGGUGGAAUGCGUAGAUAUAUGGAAGAACACCAGUGGCGAAAGGCGGCUCUCUGGUCUGCAACUGACGCUGAGGCUCGAAAGCAUGGGUAGCGAACAGGAUUAGAUACCCUGGUAGUCCAUGCCGUAACGAUGUGUGCUAAGUGU